CCAAUUUGAAAAAUGGCUGCCAAAUAGGCGUUUAAUAUUCCAAAAUGUUGCAGAAAUCUGAUUUUAUGAGUCUUCGUGAUUUCCAAGGUGUGUUCAAGCUGAUUAGAUCAGAUGUCAGAAGAUCACAGACAUGUUUUUUUCCCUCUUUAUUUUUUAAGGGUGCUUUUUAAAGCUUUUAACCUGAGAAAACAUGAAAACCAAAUGAAAGGAGCAUGAUCACUUCAGGGUCAAAGUUCACCCCCUUAUCUUCAUGAUAGAAUA